rnacentral:rRNA from 1 species
GCACGAAACUUAGCCCGUGCUUCCUCUGAGGCUAUGUCAAACUAAGGAGAGAACUCCCUAGCAUUUCAUCCCCUCUGACAGUGGUUUACAACCCAAGGGCCUUCAUCCCACACGCGGCGUCGCUCGGUCAGGGUUUCCCCCAUUGCCGAAGAUUCUCGA